UUGCUUGCCCAUGAAAUAUCACAGUUAGAUGAAAUUUUAAAAAGAGAGAUGGUUUAUUCACUUAUUAGAUUGACAAAAACUGGGAAACUGGUUGAUGUCUGGGGUGCAGAGGGCUUGGGGAAAAGUGUGCUUUGCUUGCCGCUGUAGAUAAAGUGAUGGAUAUCCAUCCCUCUUCUCCCUAGUAGGAGUCAGAUUAUGUAAAGCCAGUGCUUUUCACACUGCAACAUUUGUCUGGUGGGCCACAACCCGUACGCAUUUUUCUUUCCAAAAAAAUGACAUCGAGUACAAACAGAGAGUACUACACCUUUCAUCUGGAGUUCCGGUUUGUGCCAGAAAAAUAAACGUCUUUAUUAUUUAAGCCAAUUUGUUUUGGGAUUGUUCCUUUGAAGCUGAAAACUUCGAGAAUGAUUCACUAAAAGUGUGAACUUUUAAAAGUGUGCAAUGUUUCUGGAGGGCAAUCUGACUCCGUGUGUCAGAAUCUAAGUAAACACACUCAGCAGUACCGCCUCUAGGAAUAUAUCUCAAAGAAGGCAAUAAACGGCUGCCUGGGCAAGGUAAAAGGAUGUUGAUGGGAUCAAUGUUCUUAACAGCAAAACAGAAAGAGAAAUGACCUAAACUGUGUUGUAUUCUAGAUUCUAUGCAACAGAAUGCUAUGUCACCAGCGACACGAUGAGAUUUAGAAAGUAGUGAAUUGUUCACAUCCUGUCUAAGCAUAAAAGACACCAACAGGAAAUCAGUCAAGCCAUUGAGUUAAAAUGAAAAGUUAAGAUGCGUGUGCUUUUUUGCAACUGCUGAUGAUAAUUGGCAGAGGCAAACAAAGAUCAUUACUAGAUGCUAAAGCCAUUGGGUAGACGAUUGUAGGAGGAGGACGUCACAUGGUCUCACAGGAUCUCCCUUGAGGUUAUUUGUUGCUUCCAAGGGAGGAAAGGCACCUUUCUAUCGAAGAGAUCUGGCAGAUGCCACUUAACCAAGUGAUCAGACUUUGUAAUCCCAGCGAGACAAAUGGAUGUGAUACCUUCUGAAGUUACUGGCCCCACUUAGGUUGUAUUCUUGUCGGAAAGAUUUAACCAGAAUCUAAUCAAGGGAAACAAAUUCAGAUUGUAGGCCAUUCUACAAGACAACUGGCUUGGAUUCUUAAAAAAUGCCCAUGUCACAAAAGACAAAAAAAGGCAGGAGAGAAUAUUCUGGAACAGCACUACCCAAUAGAAAUACGAUGAGAGUCAGGUUUGAAAGGUCUGAGAGAAAAAAUGGAUUCUAAUCUUGAUAAUAACAUCCUACAGGACUUUACGGCGUAUUUUCACAUAUAUUGUGGGUCGGAUCACUUCGGAAGUCCAUGCAGGUAGGUCGAGAUGGUGUGUUUUCUCUUUGUUUUAUAGUCAACAAAAACAUUUCUUCAAGUGCCAGGCGCAGUAAGUACAUUUUCUCUUCUAAUUUCUGCAAGAGCUCCCAGAGACAGGCCGUCUCUCCCACUCACCCAAGCUGACACCCAAGGCUCUGGGAGGUCAGGGGACUGCCAAGGUCGCCAAAGAAGCAAGCCCCAGAGCUGGGUUUGAAGGCACCUGUGUCCCACUCUGUGGCCUGACCUCGUUUCUCUCUUUGCUUCCUGUUUGUAAGCCGUCUGGGACGGAUGCAGACAUGGAAGCCCAGAGACGUUAACUAGCUUGGAGGAAGUCACACAGCGACCGAAGGGCAGAGCUGGACGUCAAAGCAGACUUCAGGCUCCCCUUCCAGGGCUCUAUUUUCACCACACCUGUGGAACGGCCCUCCCGCCGGCGAACACUCUGAAGUAGGUUCAGGCUCUAAUGUGGUGACUCACGGGAGAAGUCUUGGCUCGAGGGCCCUCGGCACAGGAAAGUCAUCGAGCUCUUGAAGUGGAGCCAAGAAAAGGCCCACAAGCUCAGAGCAGGCCUCGCCAGGGAGCAGCUUUGUAAAAAUAAAAGCACAGCCUCUUCGACUAAAUCAUCUGAUGCCCUGAUUAAGAAGCAUGAGUUGCCACACCAUGUGAUCGGGAGGCGGAACAUGCCAGAUGCGGUUUGUCCUGGAGUGAUCUCCGGCCCCUGAUCCUGGGAGCUGCCCAAGAAAGGUCAAGUCUGCCGUGUUUAGAAAGUGAAAGCCACAGGCAUCAUUUGGCAAGUUACCAGUACCCUGCCCAGACUCUAUCGGCCGUCUACCAAACACGCUCUGGCACUCAACGAGUUUGGCAGUCUUCAGGGCAACAAAAGAUAAGAAUGCUAAUAAUGAAUUUCCAAGAAUGCACUGUGGUCCAGGUCUUGUGAUGAGGACUUUACAGGCAUUGGCUCCUGGAAUCCGCACAAUCAUCCCCUGAAAUGAUUGCUGUUAUCAUUCCCAUUUCACAGAGGGGAAAACUGAGUUUUCCCAAGUGAAACCGUUGGCCCCAAGGUCACACAUCUAGUAGGUGAUGGAGCUGGAAUGUGAACCGGAGCUGUGUGACCACGUGAAGGUGGUCACCGGCUGGGAGCGAAUCCCCGCCUCAUGCCCGUCUCCUCCUGUUACGACGCUCGCCCCUGCUGCUCCCCAGGGCGCUGAGCGGCACAGACACAGGCAGAAGCACAGACUCCAGCCCACCCUGGUCCCAGAAUGCAGGGAGGACAGGAGGAUGCACUCAUUUCUUUGUACUUGGCAACAAAGUCUCCCUUUCCACGCUUUUGGGCCCCAGGAUGUUCAGACACCUUGGGUCCCGGCCUCCUAUCCUCCCUCAGGGUGGAGCUCGUCUGAUUCAUUGUACGUUUUUCCCCUCUAUCCCCUUGCCAACUGCCGUCCUCUCCACCAUUCGGUUUACACACUUACACGUAUACGUACCUGUCCCUGGAUAAAUGUGUGCACACAUUUACGUACAUGUCCUCACAUACAGGUGUCCACCUGGCUGUGCACACAGGUGUACGUGUGUGUAUAUACACAGAUGCACGGACAGCGUCACUCGGUGCAUGCGAUCUUUAGUUCUACCAAUGGUAUCAUGCUAUCAAUUCUGUUGUCUUCUUUCACAGUCUUCUCGACUAUGAAGUUUUCUUCACAUUACUGUUUGUAAAUCUAGUUUAUUGCUUCUGAUGGCCCGAAAUAUUCCAUCCCUGCGCCUCUCUCUGCACCCCUGGUGUGUGUGUACGAGUGUAAGUGCGUUCAUGUGGGGAACAGUUGCUCGUUGUCUGUUAGUGUUCACUAAAAUGUGUGUUCCUUGGAAGUAGGGACUUUGUUUUAUGACCUCAGCAAAUAGAACAGUGCCAGGCCACAAGAGGUUCUUGGUAAAUAUUUGUUGAAUGAAUUAAUGAAUACACAUCCACCACAAUGUCCUUUUUCUCUGGAGAGGAACACCUAGGUGCUGGUCUCUUACUCUCUGCUCCUGGGAACCCAGCGUGGAGAAGAGUCGCUGGGUUAGGGGUAUAUUUAUAUUGAACCCUCCCUUCCCCCAACCCCAGUCCUUCCUUCCCUCUCCCUCCCUCUCUGUCUCCCUCUCCCUCCCUUUCCCUCUCCCUGCCUUCCCCUCUCACUCCCUCUCCCUGUCUGUCUCUCCUUCCCUCUUUCUUUUUUUACAUUCAUUCCACUCAGAGUUCUUCCUGAGUCCCCCAUAGGCAGAUGAAACAAAGGGUAUUUGUGUUCUUUGAGGCCUCACUUCAAUUCACUAUAAAUGAAAUCUUUCUCAAAGGCACCAUGAUUGAGGCCUUAUUCCACAGGACCUCAGAUCACAUAUUUUUAACAUUUAUUUAGAUUUGACAAGUAUUUACGGAGUCCCUCUCUGUGCAAACCUCUGUAACAGGAAGGGAAGGGGUGAGGAGGAGGCAUGAGGAGCAGACCCUGUCCUCAAAGUGGGGCGCAGGGGGGCAACACAGGGGGGAGCACACAGCAGAAGGGAGGACGUGGGCAGCCGGGCACAGACUGGCUGACUAUGUCGUGGAAUGUGAGGCCUUCUGGUCAGUUCUAGAAACCACUGGGUGCAAAUUUGAGAGGAACAGGAUAUUUAUAGUCUCCCGGUAUCUCCCCACAAAUUAAGACUCACACCAUGUGCCUCUUGGCGUGAUGCACUAAGAAGAUAACAUUUAUGUAGUGGUUGUGCCCAAAGCGCAUCAUCUGAACCUAAUCACAAGGAACAAACCAGACAGGCCCAAACAGGGGCCAUUCUAAAGGCCCUGUGUGCUUCGACAUGAGAAAGAAAGCGAGGCUGAAGAGCUAUUCCAGCUUAAAGGAGACGUGUGUGACGUGGUAACUGCAAACGCCAUGUGAUUCUGGGUUGGCUCCUGGAACAGAGAAAGGCAAUUUCUGUAAAGGGCAGUAUUGGGUUAAUUGGUGACAUCUGAAUAUGGGCUGCAUAGUAGAUCGUAUGUUGUAUUAAUGCUAAAUUUCCUGAAUAUGGCAAUUGUGUAGUCACUUCGUGUGUGUGUGUGUGUGUGUGUAUAGCCACUUUAUAUGUAUAACCUGAAACUGAAACCUGAAACUAGCUCUUAUAGCCCAUCAACCAAAACUAGUCCAAACAUAAUUAGGAACUUGGUCAGAAGAAAGUGACUUUGUGCCUUUUGAGGCAACUAUAUAUAUAUGCUAUAUAUAUCAUAGAUAUGCUGAUGAUACAUUAUAUAUGCUUAGUUCCUAGAAGCAAGGGGCAGAGUACGCAAUUCACUUCUCAGAUGGUUUCACAAAAAUAUCGGUAAUGAUGGCAUGUACACGGAGGAAAAAAAGAUUUUAAAAGGUGGCAAAAUAUUAAUAAUCACAGGACCUGAAGGAUGUAUAGUGUUCAUUGUAUUUUUCUUGAAACUUUUCUGUAAGGUUGAUACAUUUUCAGAAUAAAGUUUAUAAAUCUG